CUUUUAUCAUUUUGUUCUUGGAUCUAACCUUCACGAAAUGUACAUUAAGCCAUCUCAGAGGCUAUUGGUUCUGCAUAUAAAUAGCCUUUUCAGAAUAAUGUUCUUUGAGAAGCUAAUCUUCGAGACUGUAACUAUAUAUAUUUUACUCAGGAAAGCAGUUUGUUUUAGUUUGAAAUAUUCAAUGUAUCAUGUUUGAAAUGAUGUGCAUAUAAAUAUAUAAUAUUUUUUGUUCUGCCACUUGUAGAACUUUUUUUCAUGCAAUCUGUGUUUACCUAUGCUUAUGCUAUACAACAGGUAAGGUUGGAGGUUUCAUUGCUUUACACUCUAAAUUAUAGUAACUAGAUCUCUUUCUCUGUAUGUUUCCUUCACUUUUCCAGUUUAGGAAAGACCCAUCCUUACAGUUGCAUCAUUACAACUAGUUCUCCUGGAAUUUGGUGAAUCUCGUGAAGCGUUGACAAAAUGUUAUGCCACUAAAUGAAUGCUACAUUUAUCUGGUUUUGUUCAUAUGCAUGGUUGUUCUGUUAGCAUGGUUUUGAUGAUAAGCUUGAUAGAGAUUGUAUUUUAGUAUUUUACUCUCUUUGUGAUCUUUUGGUUUAUUUGCUCUCAUUCCCUAAGAAUUGGAUCUUACUCAAUCUAACAAAUAACUUGUAUGCAUGUUUGUUUUUAUGCAUUCUGUGCAUGACCAUGAUUGAAAAGCAUGCAAGCAUCUCUCUUAAAUGGAACUGCAUAUGCUCAGUCCAAUGCAAACAAAUUAAAGAAGAAGAACUAGAUGAACAAAUACUUUCAAGUUUCAGCCACACAAGAGUCUAUCAUGGGGUGAAGAAUCAUGUAACUCAGAUUAGAUUGGAGAGUUUAAACUUUAAAGAGAGCAUGAGGAAAUAGUUUUAUAAUUUAGGCUAAAAGUCCUGCGCUUCUCUUUUGUAGUUUAAAAGAAAUUUUGGGGUAUUUUUUUAUCGAGACAGUGAGAUAUUGAAUAAUGGUGUUGAAAAAUAACAUUCAAUUUUAUAGGUAUCAUGUAAUGAAUAUUAUGUUUAUCUAUGUGAUUUUUGGCUUUCUUUUUU